GGUUUUAUAGUCAAUUUAUGAUUUCAAAUUGCAAUUUUGAAGUAGUUUUAAACUAAAGCCU
rnacentral:tRNA from 1 species